rnacentral:rRNA from 1 species
UACGUAGGGUGCAAGCAUUAAUCGGAAUUAUUGGGCGUAAAGGGCGCGUAGGCGGAUUCGUAAGUCAGAUGUGAAAUUCCGGGGCUCAACCUCGGAGCUGCAUUUGAAACUGUGAAUCUUGAGGGUUGACGGAGAAAACGGAAUUCCACGUGUAGCGGUGAAAUGCGUAGAUAUGUGGAGGAACACCAGUGGCGAAAGCGGUUUUCUAGUUAACACCUGACGCUGAGGCGCGAGAGCAAGGGGAGCAAACAGG